UACGUAGGGUGCGAGCGUUAAUCGGAAUUACUGGGCGUAAAGCGUGCGCAGGCGGUGAGCUGUGUCCGAUGUGAAAGCCCCGGGCUUAACCUGGGAAUGGCAUUGGAAACUGGCUCGCUGGAGUGUGGCAGGAGGGGGGGUGGAAUUCCGCGUGUAGCAGUGAAAAUGCGUAGAUAUGCGGAGGAACACCGAUGGCGAAGGCAAUCCCCUGGGCCUGCACUGACGCUCAUGCACGAAAAGGCCGUGGGGGAGCAAAACAGG
rnacentral:rRNA from 1 species